rnacentral:tRNA from 1 species
GCCUUCGUGGUGUAGUGGUCAGCACGCUGGAUGCGUACACCAGAGGUCCGUGGUUCGAGCCCCGGCGAAGACA